UGGGGAAUAUUGGACAAUGGGCGAAAGCCUGAUCCAGCCAUGCCGCGUGUGUGAAGAAGGUCUUCGGAUUGUAAAGCACUUUAAGUUGGGAGGAAGGGCAGUAAGCGAAUACCUUGCUGUUUUGACGUUACCGACAGAAUAAGCACCGGCUAACUCUGUGCCAGCAGCCGCGGUAAUACAGAGGGUGCAAGCGUUAAUCGGAAUUACUGGGCGUAAAGCGCGCGUAGGUGGUUCGUUAAGUUGAAUGUGAAAGCCCCGGGCUCAACCUGGGAACUGCAUCCAAAACUGGCGAGCUAGAGUAUGGGAGAGGAUGGUAGAAUUCCAGGUGUAGCGGUGAAAUGCGUAGAGAUCUGGAGGAAUACCGAUGGCGAAGGCAGCCAUCUGGCCUAAUACUGACGCUGAGGUACGAAAGCAUGGGGAGCAAACAGG
rnacentral:rRNA from 1 species